rnacentral:rRNA from 1 species
CACAAGCUUUCCGUAGGUGAACCUGCGGAGGGAUCAUUACACAAAUAUGAAGGCGGGCUGGAACCUCUCGGGGUUACAGCCUUGCUGAAUUAUUCACCCUUGUCUUUUGCGUACUUCUUGUUUCCUUGGUGGGUUCGCCCACCACUAGGACAAACAUAAACCUUUUGUAAUUGCAAUCAGCGUCAGUAACAAAUUAAUAAUUACAACUUUCAACAACGGAUCUCUUGGUUCUGGCAUCGAUGAAGAACGCAGCGAAAUGCGAUAAGUAGUGUGAAUUGCAGAAUUCAGUGAAUCAUCGAAUCUUUGAACGCACAUUGCGCCCUUUGGUAUUCCAAAGGGCAUGCCUGUUCGAGCGUCAUUUGUACCCUCAAGCUUUGCUUGGUGUUGGGCGUCUUGUCUCUAGCUUUGCUGGAGACUCGCCUUAAAGUAAUUGGCAGCCGGCCUGCUGGUUUCGGAGCGCAGCACAAGUCGCACUCUCUAUCAGCAAAGGUCUAGCAUCCAUUAAGCCUUUUUUUCAACUUUUGACCUCGGAUCAGGUAGGGAUACCCGCUGAACUUAAGCAUAUCAAUAAGCGGAGGAGGAUCCGUG